CCAAACUUGGUCAUUUAGAGGAAGUAAAAGUCGUAACAAGGUUUCCGUAGGUGAACCUGCGGAAGGAUCAUUACAUGGCGUGCGUUCUGCGCGCGGACACGCCUGGCUUUGGCCUGGUGUGCCCUUGACCUUGCCUGUUUACGCCCGAAGUUAUUUCCUCGGGGGGCUCUACCCCCCGCUAGGGAAGCCAACUCAACCUAUAAUUAGCAAUGUACUCUGAUCGAUACGCAAAUCGUGACAACUUUCAACAAUGGAUCUCUUGGUUCUGGCAUCGAUGAAGAACGCAGC
rnacentral:misc_RNA from 1 species